rnacentral:rRNA from 1 species
ACUCCUACGGGAGGCAGCAGUGGGGAAUAUUGCACAAUGGGCGCAAGCCUGAUGCAGCCAUGCCGCGUGUAUGAAGAAGGCCUUCGGGUUGUAAAGUACUUUCAGCGGGGAGGAAGGCGAUAAGGUUAAUAACCUUGUCGAUUGACGUUACCCGCAGAAGAAGCACCGGCUAACUCCGUGCCAGCAGCCGCGGUAAUACGGAGGGUGCAAGCGUUAAUCGGAAUUACUGGGCGUAAAGCGCACGCAGGCGGUCUGUCAAGUCGGAUGUGAAAUCCCCGGGCUCAACCUGGGAACUGCAUUCGAAACUGGCAGGCUAGAGUCUUGUAGAGGGGGGUAGAAUUCCAGGUGUAGCGGUGAAAUGCGUAGAGAUCUGGAGGAAUACCGGUGGCGAAGGCGGCCCCCUGGACAAAGACUGACGCUCAGGUGCGAAAGCGUGGGGAGCAAACAGGAUUAGAAACCCCUGUAGUCCCAUGAU